ensembl:snRNA U6 U6 spliceosomal RNA
GCACUCGCUUCAGCAGCACAUAUGUUAACAUCGGAACAUACAGGGAAGGUUAGCAUGGUCCCUGAGCAAGAAUGACACAUAAGUUUAUGAAUAUUCCAUAUUUUUU